GGGCGACUGUCACAUGAAGGCCGGGCCGAUGACCCUGCCAGAUUCUCAGAGAGGUGGUGCAUGGCCGUCGUCAGUUCGUACCGUAAGGCGUUCUCUUAAGUGAGAUAACGAACGAGACCCUCACCUGCAAUUGCUACCCGCCCCUCCGGGGGCGGGGCACAUUGCCGGGACCGCCGGCGCUAAGCCGGAGGAAGGAGAGGUCAACGGUAGGUCAGUAUGCCCCGAAUCUCUUGGGCUACACGCGCGCUACAAAGGGCGGGACAAUGGGUUCCGACGCCGAGAGGCGGAGGCAAUCCCGAAACCCGUCCGUAGUUCGGAUUGAGGGCUGUAACCCGCCCUCAUGAAGCUGGAUUCCGUAGUAAUCGCGAAUCAACAAUUCGCGGUGAAUAUGCCCCUGCUCCUUGCACACACCGCCCGUCAAACCAUCCGAGUCGGGUUUCAGUGAGGCCGCUCCUGAUUGGGGCGUUCGAACUGAGAUUCAGCAAGGAAGGUUAAGUCGUAACAAGGUAGCCGU
rnacentral:rRNA from 1 species